GACAUAGCUCAUUAGUAGAGCAUCUGCCUUGCAUGCAGAAGGCCCCAGAUUCAAUUCGCUGAGGUAGGGCUG